ensembl:lncRNA
UCAUGGUCAGAGAAGGAAGACACGUCAUGGAAGAUACGUCAUCUGGUUGCGCGCGGUCUUCUUCACUUUCGCUUGCUGCCGGGAGAGGAGUGGGUGUGCUUUCCAAGCCAGGUGCCUUCAUCAAUGGAAGAAGCCUCCUCCAAGACCAGAGAAUGAUGACUGGCAAGGAAUAUGGAAAGGUUUAGGAAGAAUCUUAGAAGCGUGGGGACCCGCCAUACCAUGGGAUUUCACUCUUGAACAUCUGUGGAAUCCCGAGAAACUGAGCCAGCAUUUGAGUCAGGGACGGUGCGGCUUAGAUAGAUCAAAGGAAGUACGGCUUAUCUGGGGCUUGGCUUGUGCCUACCGUGCUCUGUAUAGUACUGUUCUGGAGAGAGAGAGUUUCCGAGCAGAGGUGCAAGCCAAAGGGGGAAAUCUUCAAGCCAGACCUGACCAGUCACAGCAGACACCAGUAACAGUGUCAGUAGCCCCUGUAGAAGGCAAGAAAUGGAAGCGGGUGUCCUCGUGUCUAGAGGGAAAAAAAGAAGAAGAAGAAGAAGUGGAGGAGGAAGA